rnacentral:rRNA from 1 species
GUUUUGGAUGGACUCGCGGCCUAUCAGCUUGUUGGUGGGGUAAUGGCUUACCAAGGCGACGACGGGUAGCCGGCCUGAGAGGGUGACCGGCCACACUGGGACUGAGACACGGCCCAGACUCCUACGGGAGGCAGCAGUGGGGAAUAUUGCACAAUGGGCGCAAGCCUGAUGCAGCGACGCCGCGUGAGGGAUGAAGGCCUUCGGGUUGUAAACCUCUUUCAGUAGGGAAGAAGCUGGUCCUUUUGGGGUUGGUGACGGUACCUGCAGAAGAAGCGCCGGCUAACUACGUGCCAGCAGCCGCGGUAAUACGUAGGGCGCAAGCGUUAUCCGGAAUUAUUGGGCGUAAAGAGCUCGUAGGCGGUUUGUCGCGUCUGCCGUGAAAGUCCGGGGCUUAACCCCGGAUCUGCGGUGGGUACGGGCAGACUAGAGUGCAGUAGGGGAGACUGGAAUUCCUGGUGUAGCGGUGAAAUGCGCAGAUAUCAGGAGGAACACCGAUGGCGAAGGCAGGUCUCUGGGCUGUAACUGACGCUGAGGAGCGAAAGCAUGGGGAGCGAACAGGAUUAGAUACCCUGGUAGUCCAUGCCGUAAACGUUGGGCACUAGGUGUGGGGGACAUUCCACGUUUUCCGCGCCGUAGCUAACGCAUUAAGUGCCCCGCCUGGGGAGUACGGCCGCAAGGCUAAAACUCAAAGGAAUUGACGGGGGCCCGCACAAGCGGCGGAGCAUGCGGAUUAAUUCGAUGCAACGCGAAGAACCUUACCAAGGCUUGACAUGAACCGGAAUGAUGCAGAGAUGUGUCAGCCACUUGUGGCCGGUUUACAGGUGGUGCAUGGUUGUCGUC